GGAUCCUGUAGAGUGAGGUUAGCACCCGAAGUUUGGAGUUCUCUUCCGUGUUUGCUGCCCAAGGUUGUUUCUAAUUUAUUAUCUACGCUAUAUAAUUUAUGCGUUGUCCUUUGAUAUUACCCCUUAUUUGUAGCUAUAUGUGAGGCUUGUCUUCUAAAACUCACAUAUGGUGCGUAUCUGAUUUUGUCCUUAAAAUCGGGUGUUAUAAAGUGGUAUCAAAGCAAUGCUGACUGUAGGACGCAAGCCUAGCUAGAACCAGACGUUUUAGAAUGCUUCUAUCUCUGCUUACUUCUUGCUUUCACCUUAACCUUGAUAAUUGCUAACAAAAAAUUAUGCUUACCUCUGUCCUAUUCUAUUAUAAAACUUUGUCUCUAUUCUAAAUCCAACCUCCUUGUCAAUUUAGAUGGCUCAUAAUGAAGAGACCUUUGGCAUGAAUGGACAAAAGGACCUCGCUUCGCCACCCAUAAAAGCAUUUAACAAAGAGAAGCUUCAAGCCAUGCAAAAGCAAGUAGUGGAAGGAAUGACUCAGAAUGGGAACUCUCAGCAGUGCAUCUCAGGACCAGUGAAGAGACAAGUAGCAGAAGCUUGGAAAAAUAUGAGAACCCAUGGAGGUGGUGGUAGUAAUACAUCGGGAUAUCAGGAUCAAUGCCAUUGCUGUAGGCAUUAUGGUCUUCCUUGUCUUCGGAUUAGGUCAUCUAAAAAGGAAGUUAAGGUAAAAUCAAAUGGUGUGACUAAUGAGGAUAAGAAGAGGAAGGAAAAAUCACUAGAUCCAGCAUUGGGAAGUGAACAACAUUCAAAUCCUAAGUUGUCACAUUUAGCUUUGAACCCUGACUAUGAAAAUCCAAACCUUGGAGAUGAAGAAACUUCUCAAGCUAACCCCACUGCUCAUGAGGUAUGCAUAGAUGGAUGGACCAUCACUUAUAAAGAGUUUCAACCUCGAAAGAUCAACAAAGUUUGGAAGAAAGCAAGCCAGCCGGAGACAAACCUUCAGAGUCAGCGAGUUGAUAACACACCGAGCAACACCUCAGUGGAAAAUGACAUCACAAUGGAUCCAGCUAAGAAAAAGUGUUAUCACUGCCGACAGGAAGGACACUAUGUAAACUCUUGUCCACACAGGAAUCAAUAGAUGCAUCAUAAAAGUAGCCACACUGAGUUUAAGAUAUAGGAGUUUGUACCCUUCUGUAAUAAAAACGCUAGUAGCGAAAGUCGAGUUUGUGUGCCUUGUGAACCUUUACUGCUUGGUUGAAUUGUCUUUAUGUUUAUGUUUGAUUUGGAUCUUUGUAAUGAGUGUAAUGAUCUUGUGAGUUUCUUCACAAUUUCAUUUAGUUUACAUGUCUAAGGCAUAAGGAUUAAUGACAUAACUAGUUGGGUUUUGGUUUUUCCCUUGUUACCUUAUCCUGCCUUUCUAGAGUAUCUCAUCUUUAUCAGUUUAUGUCUCUGUUCUUGGAUGACUAAAAAUCAUGAGAAAAUUCUGGAUAAUAUUAGACUUCAAUAUCUUUCUCUGACCACAAGAAUCACCCUCAUAGCUAUUAUGGUUUGGAAGUUACAAAAAUCACAAAACGAUACAGAUGUCCUGUCAAGAAUCUGGACCAGUUUUGGUUGCCUGCUGUUUUGGACAAAUAUAACUAUAGAAUUUGGAAAAGUGUUCUAUAGAAAGAUUAUAGAAAAUUCUCUAAGCUUUCUAACGGUAUAAGCUAUAACCCUAUUGGAUUAACAGAACAAGAGGUAUGUCCAUUUUACUGCGCUGCUGAUUUUCAUGUCGCGAGGAAAAUCAGGAUAUUUGUUUCUUCCUUGCACAUAAGUUCCUUGGGAUGUCAAAAGGGUCUCAAUGCAAGAUAACUUGUCAAGAAAAAGUGCAAGCUACCUUCCUUGUGCCUUCUAGUCGACCUUUCUUAAGGGGGGUAGUACCUUGAUAUCACCGGUUGAUGCAUUUUCAACUUAUCUUGAAGUGAGAGUUGUCUCUUCAGAAAUUCUAUAAUUAUGAUCAUCUCUCCUUCUCAUGUCGUUGACGUUGGUCACUUGAUGACAGGUAGUGUAGUUUCCCAUGGAUCAGGAGCCCUAUAUGAUGCCUCUUACUGAUACGUGAGAAGAGAAUGAUGAUCCUACCCUUGAAGGAUGUUAUGAGUAUGAUGAAACUGAGUGCUAUCAAAAUAAUGAUACUCAAGAGUAAGUUGGAAGUCAAUCAAAUCAGAAUCCACAACGGCGAAAGAGAAAAAGGAAAAGCCGUAAGAAGCCUGCUCAUGGAAGUAGGGUGCAACGAGACUAUAUCAAUGGGAGACUGAGCAAUGUGGAUAGGCAUAACAUUCAUGGAGCUACCAAAGUGGUUGGUGGCUAUAUUCAAGUAGACUCAGUGCAAGUUUUUGCUCUCUUUGACCCGAGUGCUUCGCAUUCUUUCAUUUCCACCGACCUCGUAAAGACAAUCGAGAGGGUAAAGUGUCCAACGAAGAAGCCUUUACUAGUUCAAAACCCAGUGGGAGAAAUACAAGCAGAUCAGGUGUGCUCAAAUAUCAAUCUGGUCAUAAACAAGGAAGACUUCACUGUAAACCUCAUUGUGCUAGAGUCGCUUGGUAUUCCCAUGGUCCUUGGUAAUGGAUGGUUGUGUGCACACAAAGGAGUGAUCUAUGGUACCGAGUACAAAAUGCUCAUAUUAAGUUUCUAUGUCUCUUGGAGUUGUAAGCUAAGAGGAUUAGUAGUCAAGAUGGAUUUUGGUCAACUAUGAAUAAUAGUUAUUCAAUGGAAAUGUUGUUCACGAGGUGUGACCUUGAGACAAGUGUUUAUGUUUGGUAUGCAAGUUGUGAAGUUGAAAGGAUUAUCAAGAUAUUUUCCUGUUUCUCUCAGAGGAUCUGAGCCUCUUCCGAAUCUCGAGGACGAGAUUCAUUUUAAGGGGGUAGAAUUGUAACACCCUAAAAUUUGCUUGUUUUUAAAUAGUUGAAUUUGAUUUUAUAGUCAAUUUUGUGAGCAUCAAAAUAUAGGAAAAAUAAAUAAAUUCGGAGAAUUAAAAAAAUAUAAUAAAAAUUAAUAUAAGUUUAGAAAUUUUUUUAUACAUACAUGCUGCUGCAUUUUUAUGGUGAUGAUUGUUUUAAAAAAACAAAAUGUCAAUGUGCUCAAAAAUUCAAUUGGAAAAUGCAUUUGGAAAAUGUAUUUGAAAAAGAAAAUGGAUUUUUUUCUCCCCUUUCUCCUCUCGGCCUGCUCGGCCCAGUCUCCCAGCCCCCGCGCCCCCUUUCUCUUUCCUGGGCCGCGGCCCAGCCGGCCUUUCUCCCCCUUUCCCCUCUCUCUCACCGACAAGCGAGGCCUGCUUGUCAGUUCCUUCCCCCUCCUCCCCAACUGCUCUCUCUCUCUCUCUCUCUCGGCGGCAGAGCCGCAAGUCGCACCCCCGCUCCCCACGAUCUCACCCGAUGCCCCGUGCCUUGGAUGUUUUGAAGAGCCCUGCACGCGAGCCGUCUCCCUCCUUCCCCAUCUCACUCUUUCGUGCCUUUGCCACUGCUCACGCGCACAGAGAACCGCCGCCGGAGCACCACCGCCGGCCGCCAGUCGCCCCGGCGCUUCGAGCCAUCCCCUCCGUUUCCGUCGCAUUGGUGAGCUUCCCCUCCUUCUCCGCAAUCUUCUCGGCUAAUUCCUAGGCGCUCGCGUGCUCCCUAGCCCCCUGGCCAUGUUCGCCGGAGAACUCCAUGGCCGCCGGCCAUGGAGCGUGCCGCUCGGGCGCCCCCCCGGCCGCGCAAAGGAUGGGAAUGAACUCCCCUCGCCCUCCUCUCUCUCGCGGAUCAUUCGGUUAGUGAAACGGCGCACCGUAGCGCAGUAGCAGGCCACUCUGGCAACCUCCGCAUCGCCGGCCAUGGCUGCGCCGCCGCAUUCCCCCCAACUCUGGCCAGCAGCGCCACCUCCCUUCCCCCCCAUCUAACCAGCGCCGUUGAAUUCUAAUCCAAGGGCCCAGAGCGCCUCAUACCCUUUCGGGGGAAAAUUUGUUAAAGAGACCCUGUCCUUCUUCCAAAUUCUGCCCGCCGUCCUUAGCGUAUUCGCUAGAAAUACGCUUUGCCACUUAGAAAACGUAAAUUUCAUUGGUUAGGUCAAAAUGCGCUUUCAGAAAUUUACAGUUUUGCCACUGAGUUUGUUUAGCUCACAAAAUAUUCAUUUUAACUCCGAUUUGACCCGUUUAAAUUGCGUUAGAUUCGUUUUCACGAGAUCUAUAUGUUAGUAAUCUUGGUUCAUCAGUUUGAAAUUUUUUAAUUUUGUGACCCUAUUUAAUUAAUUACUUUUCUAUAGGAAAAUCUUAGAAAAUUCAUAUCUUCUCCGUUUUAGCUCCGAUUCGAUCCGUUCAAGUUGCGUUAGUUUCAUAAUUUCGUAAGCUUCACGUUAGUACCACUGUUGUUUAGGUUUACCGCUGUUAGAUUUCCUAGUUAAUUACAAGUCCGUAGAUAGCCUAUGCAGUCCCGUUUAAUGCGUAGAUUUCGCGUCGUAACUCCGUUUUCUGUAAAUUUCUCGUUGACGUGAUCGUAGCAGCGUGUAGAUGAUUUUAGAAAACUUUUAUUUACAUUUAUUUACUGCUGGUGUACUGUUCUAAUUGUAAUCUUGUUUGCUUCGUGUAUGUCUGUCUCCGAUUGUUUGUGUGUUGAUGAUCGAUGAUCGAGAGUAGUCGGUGAGCUUUAUUUCGGUGAUCAAGAUCAGAGCCUUGGAAGCAAGUAAGAUCAGCAGGACUAGCAGGAGCAAUUGGAUCAAGGCAAGUAUAACAUUUGGGUUUUAAUUCUAUGACCAUGAUCUUGUGACUAGAUUGAUAUAAAGCAACAAAUGAUAAUAAUGACUUGUUAACAACUUGAGGAUUUAUUCGUAAGUGAUAACCGGGAUGAAAGUGCAACCAUGAGGGCUAUAAUGGCUCUGGCUUUAGUCAAGUAUGAGUAAUUUUCUAGCUUGUUAGAGGUUACCCGUGUGGCGCAAAUGGGGGAUAGCACACCCUGGAUCCCCUGCGGGGUCGAAUCACAUGGACUGACUAUCGAAACCACGCGGCCCUAACUUGUUAGAUGAACCUUUGAAAGACUUCAUAGUGAUCCCUGCCGACCUACCUUGGCAGUGGGUUACGAGGCUGAUCUCCUCAGGCGAAAGGGUAAAUCAUGACUCAUGGGUAAAGAUGUACAACCUCUGCAGAGCGUUAAAAACUGGUAUACUAGCCGUGCUCACGGUCACGAGCGGCCUUGGGAACUCUUACAUUAAGGGUGAUGAAUCUUGUGUUAAGAAACUCAUCGAUUAUUGUUUAAUGCUCUAUAUUAUUUAUGUCACAUUGAUCAUGAGACCGUGGGAUCUAUACAAUCUAGUUGUUAUACUUGCGGAGUCCGUCUUGGACUCACUCUUGCUAUCUCCCCCACACCUCAGGAGAAGUAUUGGACUUGUGAUCAACCAGUCAGUUGGAUCCUGUAGAGUGAGGUUAGCACCCGAAGUUUGGAGUUCUCUUCCGUGUUUGCUGCCCAAGGUUGUUUCUAAUUUAUUAUCUACGCUAUAUAAUUUAUGCGUUGUCCUUUGAUAUUACCCCUUAUUUGUAGCUAUAUGUGAGGCUUGUCUUCUAAAACUCACAUAUGGUGCAUAUCUGAUUUUGUCCUUAAAAUCGGGUGUUACAAUUCACGUCUUCGUACUAGCCCAUAUCUAGAGGACCCUCCAACCAGUGCCCAGCUGCCUCCCACGGUCCAGCCCUACCCAACCACACACACCCAGGCCUUGUUUAGUUCCAAUUUUUUUUUAAAAAAUCGUCACUGUAGCACUUUCGUUUGUAUUUGACAAAUAUUAUCCAAUCAUGGACUAAUUAGGCUCAAAAGAUUUGUCUCGUCAAUUCCGAUCAAACUGUGCAAUUAAUUUUUAUUUUCAUCUAUAUUUAAUACUUCAUGCAUGUGUCUAAAGAUUCGAUGUGACGGAGAAUCUGAAAAAUUUUGCAAAAUUUUUUGGAACUAAAAAUGUCCCCAAUCUGCCAUCAGCUUUUCCCCUGAUUCUAAAAAAAAUAAAAAAAAUCAGCCUUUCCCUUCUAGGGAUGGAGACAUAGUUUACAUUCUCAUAUUUUGUAAUUUAAAAUUUAUAAUUUUUAAAAGAACUCAGAUGUUAACAUAGUCUACAUUCUAGUUGUAGUUCUCAAUAACUUUGUAGUUAAUAUAUAUAUUUUUUGUUUUGAAUCAUUUAGAGCACCAAAUAUGUGUUCUAAAUUCUCAUAUUUCUAAAUUUCAAUUUAAGAAUUCCCAAAUGACACCAAAGUUGCAGUGGUCGACGUGAUCUACAACUUUAAACUUGACAAAUUUUUGAUUUGACAUCGAUCAAGUACAUUCUCAAAUAUUCAUUUUAAGUUCUGAAAUUUUCAAAUUCAACUUAAAAGGAAAAUAAAAAAUUCUUGCAUGAAUACACGACCUAUAUCAAAGUUAUAGUACUUGACAAGAUCUAAAAGUUUAUAUUUGAAACUCAUAUGAAAACACUUAUACACGCACACCACAGACCUUACAGUCGGCAGAUUAUGAGAUUGACAAAAAUCACCAUAGACGCCUUGUUAUCGAUGAGCACAUUACCUACCACUAGGGAUAAAAUGGAUGUCUAGAAAUCCGAAUUAUCCGAAUCUGUAUCCACUAAAACGAGUAAUAUGGAAAUCUGUAUUCAUAUCUGUUUCUAAUGUGGAUACUAAAUGGACUGAUUAAGCUUAAAAGAUUCAUCUUGUAAAAUACUUGCAAACUGUGCAAUUAGUUAAUUUUUUUAAUAUAUAGUUAAUGCUCUAUGUAUAUGUUCAAACAUUUGAUGUGAUGGUGUGAAAAUUUUUUAGGUGAGAACUCAUGGCAUUUUUGGCGGUGUGGGUCCUAGCGGUAUAAAAUGGAGUAGGGACCAUGGCACUAGGCAGUUGUCCCACUGAAAUAAAUAUGGAAAGAUGUGUGAUGCAGCAGGAGAGACAGGAGAAGGUUGGAAGCUGGAAAGUUGGUGGGAGCACAUGAACCCCAAUAAUCCCUUCGAUCCAUCGAUCCGCCUGUAAAAGGACGGUUCAUCGUCAUGCACACCCACACCCGGCUGAUCAGAAAGAUUGUGGCGGAUUGGCCUCUAGCUCAUUCCACGGAUCAGGUCUUGUAGGCAGGCAUUCAUCAGAAAGAUUAGAAAGUCGAUCACAUUAUACUCUAGUAGUAGUAUUAGAUGUGUCCCAAGUUCGUUUAAUUAUACUCCUCGUAGUUGUGAGUCUCUAGCUAGGGAUGUAACAAGGAAUAUAAAAAACAAGAGGAAAUAAAGAGUCUAAAUUACUCUCCUCAUGCUUUUUUUUUCAAAAACUGCUGGCAGGAAACAAAUCAAAUUACAAAGGAAAAGUCGAAAAGACAAAUCAAAAGGCCCAAAUGAGGGAUUUAGACCCUCAAAGCAAAAGAGGCAAACAGUAUCAACCAUAGGCAAAAUUUCUCGUAAUUGCUUGGCUCCCACACUACACCAUAAUCUGGCCUCUUUUUUGAUCUUUGCAAUCUCGAUGGUGCUUUGUGUCGAUUCUCAAAAAUCUUUGCAUUUCGCUCUCUCUCCAAAACUCCCAUGUGACAAGAAUCAUAUUACUGCUUUACAUAGAUAAAAGAGGCAAAUAGCCUAAACCAUAGGCAAAAUUUCUCUUCUCAUGCUAUGCCUAUGGUAUAUAUAUCUCCGAACUAGCAAUUGAUUCAAUUUACUCCCUCCAACCAUUUUGAUUGGAUCAAUUUAACCUUUCACACCUGUUUUCCACGUACAUGUUCAAUCUGAAUAAUAAUAAUAAUAAUAAUAAUAAUAAUAAUAAUAAUAAUAAUAAUAAUAAUAAUAAUAAUAAUAAUAAUAAUAAUAAUAAUAAUAAUAAUAAUAAUAAUAAUAAUAAUAAUAAUAACAAUAAUA
rnacentral:lncRNA from 1 species